UAAAAUGUGUCCUGGCUGAUUCGUUCACCAUUUACUGUAUAGUACACGCUGUAGUAGUCGAACAGAAUUUUACACCGCAUAGCACAGGCUUCCGAGCAAUAAUCUGCUGCUCUGACUUUUCCCAUAAAAACUCUCUGCCUAGAAAAUUGUGAGUUGAGUUUACUGUGAAGGCAAGACACACCGUAUUCUUUCCUGAUACUGGUCUAUACCGAGGGGCGAGAAAAGGGAAAAGCGCAUAUGGUUAGAUUUAAAAGAAAAUAAAGAACAAUAUAAAAAAAGAAAAAAGAAAAAAACAUACUCCGGUCAGAAGCUGACAACCUGUGGGGACCUGGUGAGACACAAAGGCUUUGGGAUUAUUGAAAACAUCAAAAAUUCCAUGGGAUUUGACAUGAUGCAGCUCUGUGAAGAACACAGGAAGCCGAAGCAGGGUUCUGGUGCAGCGCUCGGGUCUGGGUAAGAGGGGCACGGCCCCUGUAUUCGAGUUAUACUCACCACCCAGAGCAUGCUGCUUUGGAUAACCAAAACGAUAACGCCUCAGCAAAGGUGGCGAUAAAAAAAAAAGCACCCAUGUGGAAACUUAAAAAAACCCAAGAAAAUGCACUGGAAUUCUCCUCUAGCAUCGGGAUUUCUGAUGGUUAUACCAUG
rnacentral:lncRNA from 1 species